AGUGAACGCUGGCGGCAGGCCUAACACAUGCAAGUCGAACGGCAGCACGGCAGUAGCAAUACUGUGGGUGGCGAGUGGCGGACGGGUGAGGAAUACAUCGGGAUCUACCCUGUUGUGGGGGAUAACGUAGGGAAACUUACGCUAAUACCGCAUAAGAACUGAGGUUGAAAGCGGCGGACCGCAAGGCGUCGCGCGAUUGGAUGAACCGAUGUCCGAUUAGCUAGUUGGCGGGGUAAAGGCCCACCAAGGCGACGAUCGGUAGCUGGUCUGAGAGGACGACCAGCCACACUGGAACUGAGACACGGUCCAGACUCCUACGGGAGGCAGCAGUGGGGGAAUAUUGGACAAUGGGCGCAAGCCUGAUCCAGCCAUGCCGCGUGGGUGAAGAAGGCCUUCGGGUUGUAAAGCCUUUGUCGAAGAAAGCAUUCGGUUAA
rnacentral:rRNA from 1 species